rnacentral:misc_RNA from 1 species
GAUGAAGAACGUAGUGAAAUGCGAUAAGUAAUGUGAAUUGCAGAAUUCAGUGAAUCAUCGAAUCUUUGAACGCACAUUGCGCCCGCCAGCAUUCUGGCGGGCAUGCCUGUUCGAGCGUCAUUUCAACCCUCAAGCUCUGCUCGGUGUUGGGGCCCUACGGUUGACGUAGGCCCUUAAAGGUAGUGGCGGACCCUCUCGGAGCCUCCUUUGCGUAGUAACUAACGUCUCGCAUUGGGAUUCGGAGGGACUCUUGCCGUAAAACCCCCAUAUUUUCUAAUGGUUGACCUCGGAUCAGGUAGGAAUACCCGCUGAACUUAAGCAUAUCAAUAAGCGGAGGA